CCUAAUCUUCCUAAGGAACUUUGGAUGACAAAAAGGGAAGCUAAAAAACUUUGUAAAGCCUAGAUGGAAAAAUCUUUUACAUGGCCAAAUUAUGAAUCCUUUAAAUUCAAGAUCUUAAAAGAUUUGAAGUUAGCCAUUAAAAACAAAGAUUCCAAAGAUUAUAAAUACAUGUGGGCACAUCAUGUUGAUAAAUUAACCAUCACCUCAAGAGGUGGAAUCAUUCUUUCUUUGGAACCAGAUCAUUCUGGCUUAACUCCUUCAAUUCCUCCUCCUGGAUCUUUGAUUAGAUCUAACACAAAAUACACCCUAUCAACCCACCUGGGUUGUGAGAAAGUCUCUCCUCAUACUGAUACAAACCAAAACUUGCACCCUUCAGCUCCUCUCCCUGUCAAACCUUGCCCCACUCCUCCCAUCCCUUUCUUCCUAAUCUAUCUCUCUACCCUCCCUUACCAUCGCACUACUCAUUCCCUUGAGUUUCCUCCUUCUCACUACCCAGUGCCGCCCAUCUCCCCUAUCUCCAACUGUACCAUCUCUGCCUGCCUUUUCCUUUUCCCUACCCUCCUUCCCCUGACCAAUUCCACCCAUCUUACUAUGACUCCUCCUCUAGACCUCACCUAUCCUAUUCCUCUCCACCCUGACCCUGGUCCUACCCUCCCUCACCACCCCGCCUCAGCCCCACCUCCAUUCCUCUCCUCCCCACUCCCAACCCCACCACUAAUCCUUUCACCCUGCCUCCUAACCCCCUGACCAGCCCCUGCUCUCAAUUCAUCCACUCAGCUCUUCCCCUACUAUCCUCACUACAACCCACACCAUUGAAAUCCAGAAAACAGGCCAAGCAGCAGUUACCAUAGAUGAUUCAAAUAAAGGCCUUUUCCUUCUAAAGAGAUGAUCCUACUUAUAACAGACAUGGAGACAUAGUAAACAUUAAACACCAUACACAUUUCACUCCACAGGACAUUGAUAGAUUAAAAGAAAAAGUUCCUUCCCUUGAAACUGAGCCC
rnacentral:lncRNA from 1 species